rnacentral:tRNA from 1 species
UUACUAGCCUUACCACCCAAGAGCUAUCCCCCGAUAGCUAUCGGGGGCGUUGGCUGCUGGGGGU